rnacentral:rRNA from 1 species
UACGGAGGGUGCAAACGUUGCUCGGAAUCAUUGGGCGUAAAGCGUGUGUAGGCGGUUUGUUAGGUCGGGUGUGAAAGCCCUGGGCUCAACCCAGGAAGUGCAUUCGAAACUGGCAAACUUGAGUACGGGAGAGGGUCGCGGAAUUCCCGGUGUAGAGGUGAAAUUCGUAGAUAUCGGGAGGAACACCAGUGGCGAAGGCGGCGACCUGGACCGAUACUGACGCUGAGACACGAAAGCGUGGGGAGCAAACAGG